rnacentral:lncRNA from 1 species
UUGAACCCCUCAAAUCUCCCUGUUCUGCCAUUCCUUACUUUUCUGCUUUUUUGAAGUACUGCUGGCUUCUUGGAAGCCAGCUGCAGUUCAAGGUUGAUUUUUUUUUUUUUUUGUUCGACUCCUUUCUGCUGUUGAUUUUUCAGGCCGACGGGUGGCAGUGUUUGCUUCUAGAAAUAACCUGCAUGAACCGCGGAGACGAGAGCUGCUUGGGAAGUCUAGCUGUUGUGUUCUGGUUGUGAUCUCCCGCAUGGGCUGUGCAGUGAGGACUUGCUGAGCCUCAAAACCCAAACAGCAGUUGGUACCUGAGCUCCUCCAGCUUGCCUCUGGGAACUGCUUUUUCUGGAUGCAACAUGAGAAACAGAAAACUUUGGGUAGCAUCACGUCUUAAAAUGACCAUUUUCAACGCACUUCACGAAUGUUCAGCUUUGUCAUUUAAGAAUAACAGCUAGAGGACUCUCUGUUACCAUAAAGUUUCUGCAAAGAAAAAUAAAAUUUGGUAUCUCUUCUACACAGUCAUUCAUAACAUUUCUGUGCAACAUUUGGUGUUCAUUACAUUUAUUUGGCCUAUUAAAAGGAAGCAAGAACAAAACAGCUGCAAAUAAAACCAACUUCUCUUUCACAACAGAUACUUCAGAUGCCGAAGCUGCUACAUGUGCUUGGAAUAUCAUGCAGGAGUUCACUUACUCACUUAAAUAGGAUAUAUAUUUAUAGCUGAGCUCGUCUUGUGUCAGACAAGGAUGAGGGAAAACCUGGAAGAACUCAGUUGAAAACACUGUCGAGAACAGUGACAAAGAGCACACAACCACCAACGGUAUUUUGGCCUGAACAGUGUGUAUAUGAAGCUAUAUACACACAGACACAUGCACGCACACACACACACACCUAAAAAACUCUCAGUGAUUGAACUAGAAUUCAUCGCAGAGACCGAACUGCAGAGUGGCUGGCGAGCCAGAUUCUCAUUUAGAGAAAAUUACUGAAAAGAGGAGUGACCACCAAAACCGCUGCCCCCUGCCUGCCCAGCAUGGAGGAAGCUUUCCCAGGUACCAACCACAACUUCCUCCACCUUUACUGGCAAGUGUGACCUCAACCCACAUUGGUGCAAGGAGAUGCACCACAGCCGUGAAAAGCCUGCCUUCUGUGAUGGUGAUGAGGGUGAUGAAGGCCAAGCUCAGCACAGGGGGUGCAGAUGCAUUUUUAAUGACGGAACUGAGGCUUUAUUGAGGUAUCUGGCACUAAUCAUUUCUGGUGCUGUUGUCAUUCAAGUGCUCGGGGGAUCUGGAUGAGAUGGGAAAGGGAUGAGGAAGGCUCAGCCCCACUCACCACGGGCUCUGCAGUUGCACUGGUGAAGCUGGGAGGGUAAAUGCCAGCUCCCCUCUGAGCAGGGAUUAUUUCAAACUGCAGGGAAGGGCUCCAAACGAAAGGGAAAGAGGACACUGUGUUUCAAGGAGCACUAACCUCUGUUGGAUUUAUUGACUUCCUCCCUCCUAAUGAUGAACAACCCACGUCUUACCAUAACUGCUUACUGCCAGCGCUAGCCAACACAACCAGAUUCAUAUUAUAAAAAGCCUGUUUGGGUCAUAAAUCUCCAUGAAAGUCAUCUAACCAGCAGGAAGGGAAACAUUCCUAAGAAAUUAUUGCUUCUGGAAUCUGUAAUUGCCAGCCACAAACAGUUCAAGCCCAACGAGACUCUUGUGAUAACCCAAUGGUGCACAAUCCCCACUGCGUCUUUCUGAGCGAUGCGGUUUGAGCUGCUCUGCUUUCAUGUGAAGUACUUCAGGACGUGCAGCUUGCCGACCGCAGAGUCCUAGUGAAACACUCAGCACUCUGAGCUCCAACAGUGUCUCAUGUAGGGGCAUUGCAUGCCACCAAAGACUGCAGCAAAAUAUGUUAAAAUUGUUUACAGUACAGAGCAACUUGGAGUGAAACCACAAAACCACAAACCUACUGCAGUGAAGGUCCUGCGAGAUGGAGCACGCAGGAUGAGUUGGACUGUGCAGUAAUACUGGCAAACAACAAGGAUACUUGCUAUCAUCAGGAAUUAAGUAAAGCCCCUUCAACUCUCUCUUCUGCAAUAAAGAUGUAAAAUCGUACUAAUUUAUAUUUUAAUUGUGGCAAAAAAAAAAAAGUUCUGUAUCGAAAGGCGAGGGACGCAUUUAGAAAUAAAUGAGUGCCCCCUCCACCCUGAGAAGUGCCGGGGUAAAAAGGAAAGUUCUCAAAUCCAAGAGAAAGCAUUGUAUCAACAGAUGUCAGAAAUGACCCCUUGCGAGCACAAGGGAAGUGAGCGCUGUGCUUUCACAGCCUGGCCGAGGGACAGGAGGAGAUGCUUUGGCAGGGGCUGCCCCACGUUAAUUCUUCUGGCAAUACUACAAAUACUUCGGCGUGUUUACAAUGGAUAAUUAUUUCCUUCGGUUUUGUAGGGCAGUGAAAUAGAGCUUCCUGCUACAAAGCACUGUGCAUAUUUAUGUGUUACAAACACACUAAACAAUGCCAUAAACAAUCCCGUAUCUGGAUUUCAAUGUCAGUUCCUAGAAAUGAUGCUGGGACAAACUAGACCUGCUCUGCUUUUGACUGAAAGUCUCUGUGUUGGAAAUGUCCUUCUCCCCCCUCACCGCUUGCCACGACAUAGAAAACUAAAUAAAUGCAUGCAACACCAGUCUGCAAGAGGGAGCUUCAGCAUCUCCUCCCUCCUUGCAGCUGGACCUUGGUGGGCUCGACUGUGCUGUGAAAGAAACCUUGGCUUACAAAGGUGCUAUGCAGAGCAGCGGUGGUUGGAAGCUACAUUCACCAUCAAUGGAACUCGUGAGUGGUGGGGAAAUAGGUAAGGCUGGCAGCUAUAAAAAGCGUAGCAGAACGUUGCAAGAAGUAAGGUUCACAUAAGGAGUACUUGACAGUGUUCAUUUAAACCAAAGCAGAAUCUUCAAGAAGUUUUAAAAAUAAAAUAGUAAAGCCACUUUAAAAUGUCUAACUCAGUAUGUACUUUACACGAAUGCCAGUUAUAGGGUGAAAUACAACAUGCAUCUCUUCUACAUAUAUGAGUAUCACCAGAAUAUAUUAAAUGUAACUGAGAUGAUAAAAUUCAUGGCAGAAGUUCAGUUAAAGUAUUUCUCACAACUG